rnacentral:rRNA from 1 species
CAGGCCUAACACAUGCAAGUCGAACGCCCGAGCAAUCGGGAGUGGCAGACGGGUGAGUAACACGUGGGAACAUACCCUCAGGUUCGGAACAACGCCGGGAAACUGGCGCUAAUACCGGAUACGCCCUUUUGGGGAAAGGCUUGCUGCCUGAGGAUUGGCCCGCGUUCGAUUAGCUGGAUGGCGGGGUAACGGCCCACCAUGGCGACGAUCGAUAGCUGGUCUGAGAGGAUGGCCAGCCACAUUGGGACUGAGACACGGCCCAAACUCCUACGGGAGGCAGCAGUGGGGAAUAUUGGACAAUGGGCGCAAGCCUGAUCCAGCCAUGCCGCGUGAGUGAUGACGGCCUUAGGGUUGUAAAGCUCUUUCGCACGCGACGAUAAUGACGUGAGCGUGAGAAGAAGCCCCGGCUAACUUCGUGCCAGCAGCCGCGGUAAU